rnacentral:tRNA from 1 species
GGAGGUGUAGCUCAGUGGUAGAGAGCUUGCCUGGCGCAUGCAUGAGACACUGGGUUCGAUCCUCAGCACCACAU